ensembl:lncRNA
CAGACAGGGUGCACACUCAGUGCUGAGGUUGCAUCUCCAAACUGGUCCUCACCAGGAUGCCACGUUUGCUCUCAACAUUCUGAGCUUUCUCUGGUCUGAAUAAACAGCAAAAAUCCUCUUUUCCUGGCUGCUUAUCCUGCCUUCCCUGUCUGCAGCCUCUUGCCUUUGGCCCAGACCAGCAGACUUCCCUGAAAGUUACACGGAUUUUGUUUCCCUAGUUUUGGGAAAUCCAGAUGCACAGUUUGCUUUGCUGGGGGCAGGGAAUCAAGGGGAGAGUGAAAGAGUGGGGAGAUUGUCAUCGCUGAUAAAUAAUGGUAAAGGUGGGAUUUGUUUUGUAAGUUCCAGCAGAGGAGAAGGAACAUGGCUGUAAUCUCUGGGAGGAACCCUGAUCCACCAUCACAGCCUCGGUGCAGCCUGGACAUGGGCUUUUAUUGCAACAUAUUCCCAGGAUUGCUAAGUUUCUCAAGGGAGCUCAACCAAUUGCAACGAUGAAGUUGUCUUGGCCUUAUCCUGUUUUUCCAUCUUGCAGUGAAUGUAACUUCAUAAGGCUGAAUCUAAUUUAUUUGCCACAAUAAAAU